rnacentral:lncRNA from 1 species
CUUUUAGGCUCCUGUUUUGUAUGUCAAAGACUACUACUGUCACGGGAAUUGUAUGCAGCAGUAGCUUUCCUGCAUAGUAACAGAAAACUGUGCUUCUAAAAAUUCCUCUACAGAGUGUUUUUGCAGAGCCACUUCCCCAGGGUGUUCCAUCUGUUUUCACACAGAGAUUAAUAACAAAUUGUUUGGCUAUAAACUGUCUCUAAAACUUCACCAUUUCUUUUUCUUCUCUCACACGGUUACUUGGUUCCUGUCUCCCUCUGUGUUCCUACGUGGGAGAUGGUCAUCACUUGUAUCGGCUGCACAGCAGUUGUCGUGCUUCAGCCCCACAGCAAGGCUUUGAGGGUUGGAGAUCUCAGUGUGCGUGGCUGGAAGAGUUGGUGGUAUGGAUGGUUGUGUAGCGCUGAGGGCUUGCCUCAUUCCCAGGGGACAUCGAGAACAGCGGAAGACUAUAUUUAAUGUAUACUGUGAUACACUGCAGGAGCCCAUUUCUUGUUCAUAACUGUGGAGGAAAAUAUUCCCAGCAAAAAUGGGACUCAAAUAUCUACUGUGAAAACAAGCUUAAGAUCAGGAAGGAUACUUGUGUUCUUUUAAUCUGAUAAUUCCCUUAUACAAGUCAAAGAGCUUCCCGACAAUAAUACCUCUUAGGGUUGAGUAUCAGUGACCAAACUGCUGUCAUGAUAGCCAGUCUAGAUUUGGAAAUUUCCAGUGAUGGUUCAAUUUUCCAAAGCCCUCAGGGAUGUAUUUGUUAAAACACCUACCUAACGUCUGCUGUGUAUUUUUAUCUGUCAGC